rnacentral:pre_miRNA from 1 species
AUUAUACUCCCUCCGUCCCAAAAUAAGUGACUCAACUUUGUGCUAACUUUAUACCCCAAGUUGAGUCACUUAUUUUGGGACGGAGGGAGUAUAAU